AGACCGAGGAAUAACCCGGAGUAAAUUUUGGCAUGCUUUUUGGUUAUUUUUUUUCUCAGAGAUAACUGAUGCUCUCAUUUUCUCGCCCAUGAUAAGAUUUUUGUUCUACAAACUCUUUCCAUUCUUUCUCAUCGGCAACACUGAAGAAGCAUGGAGAAAAAAAAAAUUAUGCAGAAGCCUGGAUUGGAGGGAAAUUCACAGAGGAGAUCAGAGUGCAUGGUAUCCAGAUGGAGAUACGUUGGUGAGAAGCGAGUAUAAUCCCUCUACAGCCUUUGCGUACGGAUGUGAAUCAAAAUUGAUGCCAUGCUGGCAAUGAAGGGAAAGAGACAAAAAGGAGAGAUCAAUGGGUGAUAAGAUUUUGUUACUAGUUGCUAUAAAUUUGAAAGUGAGGGAAGUUUUUGUGGGUAGAGACAACAACAGACAAUAGCAAGUUUUCUGCAUAGAGAAGAGGAAUGUUGCGACAAUAACAUAGUUUGUGAAUGUGGAUAGAAGAGUAAGGAGUGCAAUGCAGUAGUACAUAGCUCCAGACAAAGAAGAGAACGUAUAGCUCUAGACAUAUAAGAUCUAGCAUAAGUAGCUUCAGACAGUUACAGAAACCAGUCAUGUACAAGAAUAAUAAAACUGCCUAUAAAACUAUUGUAAUCUUAAUUUAGAAGUUAUUUUGAAAAUUUCAGUUUUGAGUUCAAUAGAAAAUAUUUUGUCUUUAUGGUAUAUUUGUUUGAGUGCAAUCUAAGUUGAGACCCAUUGAAUCAGCUAGAAUUCAAACUUAGGAUCUUCAAUAUGAUGUUAGAGUGCUUUACCAAUUGAGCUAGUAAGCCCUCAAUGAUCAUCCCAUCAUUUAUCCAGACGUGGCUUAUUUCCAAGCCCAGACAAGGUAAAAGAAAUAAAUUGGCUAUAAGCUUCUUCCAUAAUCAAGUCCCUUUGGGUUAGCAUUUGAGCCAAAAUUAUAAUUGCAUGGAUGAGAUUCCAGAUAAUCCUAGUGCUCUAUCUCUGUGAGCAGUCAGCAUUUUAUCUUUGUGAGCAGUCAGCAUUUCAUUCCACACAUUAGCGUUGCAUUAUCCAUCUAUAUGAGUGCUAAACGAAGAAAGAUGAAUUCUUGGAAACACUACUCAUAAAUAUGGGUGGAUGUCAGAUCUAAACGAGGCAGCUGAAUCCAAAUCAUCUCACAUAUUUUAUAAUCUAAAGCUUUAUUAUUUGAAAUAAUUUAGUAUGGUGUUGCUCAAUGAAAUUGAAAGCUAUCCUAACUGAUUCGCAUUGGCUUAAAAAGAUGAUUCCAUACUGGGGUUAAACUUUAAAUUCACCACAAUAUUCUGGGAAAGCUAGUGACUAUAUUCUGAUGGUGUGAAAACAGGAUCCUAUCAAUCAAUCUAUUCCUUAUUUGUUUCCAGAGACCAAUAUUCUUGAGGCACAUAUAGUGUCCUGUCUCUGAUGAGAUUUUAGUGGCUGCUUGAUACGUAACUCUGAUACAUUUUUUGGACACAUUAAUAUGGAGCAGAAGCUAUAAUGUUGCCGGGAUCGUAUCCUACUUGUAAAAAAUGUUCCUUAGCUGAUGAGUUAUUUCAUGGAACCAUAUUUCGAAGAAACUGCUAAAUUUAAUCGGUAGCAAUGAGAGAAAAUUUUGAUGAUGUACCCUCGCAUUAAAUUAAGCUGUACCUAAUUCACCCAAUACUUUUGGCACUGCCUCUAUACUCUCCACCUAAUAUAUAAAUAACGGGCAUCCUGCCCAUUAAAUUAGACUGUGUCUGAAAAUAUAAACAGUUAAUAAAGAGAUAGUUGAAGAUAUACAGAAAUCUUAAAUCACAAUUUAAAAGAAAAUCUACCUGCUUUAUAAAUAAAUAUCCAUUGUGACUGGGAUGAUAUUGUACACAUCUGUGCAGUAUUAAUUUUGUAGCUGAAAAUAUUCUAACAUUGAGAUUAUAAAAAAUCCAGAAUCUUACAGAUUAACAAGUCUGUUCUCACUGAGAUUGGAAUCAAUUCAUCAGAACUUCAAAUAUUUUAAAAUUAUCACGAGUCUCUGCAGCUUAUAUGCUAGAGAAAAAUUAACACUUUGAAUAACAUAGGAAAUCUCCUUAAAUCCAACACAGACCAGAUGCAGGAGCAUCCUGCCGACCCAUGCCAAAAUAGGAGCUUUGAAAUGAAUCUGGACAUCCAUCAAUGCAUGACAGAGUGGGGUUUUUGUUUUCAGAUAUUAUAUUUAAAAAUACUGUGUCAGUAUAUAUGCAAAAUGUAGAAGCAUAGACCUGGCACAUAACUGUUGACAGAAUGCCUCAAGAAAUAGAUUUCUUGAAACGGCCGUUGGAGAAUAAGAAGAAUAACAGUCACUGAAAAUUUAAGAGACAGUAAAUGUUGGCAAGGCAUCGGCUAUUUGUGGGAUGACCAAAUAUAGAAUAAAAUUGGAAUAUGCAUUAAAGGAAAUGAUAAUGCCAAUAUAAAGAAAGCUCACAAAAAUACCUGGAGCAAUGUAGCCAAUAUAUUCCUUGAGAGCAAAUGUUGUUGUCUAGUGUUUAUUGUAGGUAAAGGAUCUUCAACAUCUUACUUCCCUCUAAACUAACAAGGAUCUCCACUGUUAACUUUUUGUGCUGAAGAUAAAGAUAUUAUAGCUGAUGUAGGCUAGCAAGAGAAUCUGGAAAUUUUCCACUGAGUAGAUUUGGAGUUAAACUAAGGAAAUGUAAAUUUGAGAGUUUGAUGCCAAAAUUUAUGCAAUCUGCCCACUAAGCUGGUUUUCCGAUAAUUCUAAUCUCUUCAAUUUCGAGAGAUUUGCUAAAGAGUAGGGGAUGGUGUCUUGGAGAUGAUUUCCUGACAUGGCUAAUUCUGUCAAUUUUGAGAGAUUUCCUAAAGAGGUGGGAAUGGUGCCCAAUAAGUUAUUCUUAUAAAGGUAAAGCAACUGCAGCUGAGUGAGCAUGCCCAAUUCAAGGGGAACGGUACCCUGGAGAUGGUUUUGUGACAAGUCUGAAUCAGUCAAUUUUGAGAGAUUUCUUAAAGAGCUGGGAAUAGCGCCUGAUAAGUAAUUUUGCCUGAGGCAAAGAACCUGCAGCUGAGUGAGCAUACCCAAUUCAGCGGUAACGGUACCUGUGAAGUUUUUUUUCGCAAUGGAAAUUCAACCAGAGUGGAGAAAUUUCCUAAAGAACGGGGAAUGCUGGCUGAUAAGUUAUUUGUGAAAAGAUAAAGUAAUUGAAGCUGACUGAGCAUUCCCAAUUCAGAGGGAAUGGGACGAGUGAGAAGGUUUUCUGAGAAGUCUGAUUUUGUCAAUUUUGAAAGAUUUCCUAAAGAUCUGGGAAUGAUGCCUCAUAAGUUAUUUUUAGAAAGGUAAAGAAGCUGCACAUGAGUGAGCAUGCCUAAUUCAGGGGGAAUGGUACCCUUGAGUUCAUUUUCAAACAAGGUUAAUUCUCUCAGUUUUGAGAGAUUCCCUAAAGAGCUGGGAAUGGUGCCUGAUCAGUUAUUUGUAUCAAGGUAAAGAACAUGCAGGUGAAUGAGCAUGCCCAAUUUAGGUGGAAUGGUACCUUGGAGAUGGUUUCCCAACAAGUCUAAUGCUCUCAAGUUUGAGAUAUUUUCUAGAGUAUGUUAUGAAGUAGAAUUCUACUUAUCAAUGAACUAACUUGUAGUGUAAAUCCAAGUCAAAGUUCAAAUAUUUCAGUGUAUAUUGUACUUAAAGAAGACCUGUGACCAGAUUGUCCAAACAAGGUCAAAACUUGUUCAAUUAUUAUUAUUAAGAAAAAAAGUUAGAUAGGAUGUGUUAGGCAUGUGCAACAAGGAAUGCUUAUGAUUUCAUGACUAAGUUUUUGUAUGGGUUAAAUAUAGUAAUUUGAUGCUUUUGAUAUUGGAAUUUUAAGUAAUAGCACAUCGGUUUGAUUUGUAUGGUAGCUAUCAGGACUUCUGAUGAGAACAUCCUUUAUAGGUAGUAUGUUAACUACAGUUAUAAAUCAGUCAAAUUUACAUUUAAGUAGGCUAGAGGAAGACGGAAGUAAAUUAAAAUGGAGAGAAACAGUUGGAAGUGGGUAGGUGGGAGUUGGAGCCAUUAACCCAUUAAAUGUCUUUGUAAUAUUUGUAGCCUACAAAUAUAGGAUUAUCUUAUGGAAAUAAGCAUUUAGAAAAAUAGAUAUCAUGUCAACUUAGGAGGUAAUGGUGAAUGAAAAAAUGUUGUCAUUGGAGUUAGUCAUGCCAUGUAAAAUUCAGACUUUCCAAAUUCCAACACUAGGAAAUUUCAAAUUAUUUUAUGUCCAUAUAAAAAAUGCUUUCCAAAUUUAAAGGAGCUUUGAUGGAUGAAAGCUUAAAAAGAGCAAGACGGAAGAUAUUAAGUUUGACCUUGAAAACAUCAAAGGCACUGUAAGUGGUUAACUGUAGGUUCUGCUAUUAAUAUGCUGAAGUUUUUUUAUGAUGUUUAUAGUUUUGAGUAGCAUUGAAAUGCUUUUAUUAAAUUGUGAUGUUUUGUUUCCUUCUUGGCUUCAUUUCUUUUCACAAAUUGUUGGUGCGACAAUCUCAUUCAGUUUGAAAGGGGUAGCUUUUUAUCUCUUAGAUAUUUAACAAAAGCUUUGAGUGAUGGCUAGUUCUUCAAACUUCUCUUGACAUAUUUUUGUUACCUUGGAGCAUGAUUCAUUUGUGAUCAUGCAAGUUUUAAGUAACAUUUGAGAAUUGACUUCUUUUCUGCUCAUAUUCAUAGUGCCAUCUUUGCAGUUCUUUGUGUGAUGAUAUAGGUAGAUCGAUUUGAAUAAUAUAAUUAUGCAUUACAUUUGAUAAUUAUGUUUUUUUAUGAGAAAUAUGCUACUAUUUGAAGAAAAAGGUAGUUCUUGUUUUUUCUACUUCCAUUUUCAAUGUGGAGAAACCAAAGGCAUUUCUGUUUUUUUAUUCUCAAAAUUUUAUGGACAUUAUUGAUGGUAUGUGCAUUUGACAGUCUAUUAUGUUCUUGCUCCUUUUCUCUGAUUAGUUUCUUCACAAGAAUGGUGUCUGUUUCAAAGUCUUUUCUUGCAUCAAAAUUAAUAGUUAUCUCAUCAAUUCAUAGUAAAUACAAUUUUUAUCAUUUUUCAUGAUGAUAUGUUUUAAGUUUGAACUUUCAAUAAUAAUGUUUCCAUUUAAAAGUGACAACGUAUCCAAGUUUAUAGUGCACCAUAGUUUUAUGGGUUUGCACCCUACAUAACCUUGCAUCCUCACACCUCACAUACCCUUGAACCCUUGCACCUUGCAGACCAUUUAGCCCUCACACUUUUGUAUCCAAGUUUUGGGGAUUUAUUAUGGUGCUCAUACUCACAUCCCGAGCACCCCUUGACCUGGACAUGCACAUACCUUGCUAUUGGAAUAUUUCCUCAAUAUUAGCUUUAAGAGUAUAAAUGCGAAUAAUGUUCUAGAAG